AGCAGUAGCCGCGGUAAAACGUAGGUCCCGAGCGUUGUCCGGAUUUAUUGGGCGUAAAGCGAGCGCAGGCGGUUUGAUAAGUCUGAAGUUAAAGGCUGUGGCUCAACCAUAGUUCGCUUUGGAAACUGUCAAACUUGAGUGCAGAAGGGGAGAGUGGAAUUCCAUGUGUAGCGGUGAAAUGCGUAGAUAUAUGGAGGAACACCGGUGGCGAAAGCGGCUCUCUGGCUUGUAACUGACGCUGAGGCUCGAAAGCGUGGGGAGCAAACAGGAUUAGAUACCCCCGUAGUCCCUGUCUCUUAUACC
rnacentral:rRNA from 1 species